UGUAGUUUUCUUUCAAUAACCUAAAUGAACUAAAUAAUACAUCAUAAAAAUUACAAAAAGAAUAAAAUACUAUUUUUCUUAUUUGCUUAUACAUUCCCCAAAAGGGAACAAAAAUAAGGGGGUCAUUCACAUUUUUGAGAUCUGCAAAUACGAUGCAACUAAACUCAAUAUGAUGCAACUCAACUCAACUCGAGUCGACUCAAGUGAGUCAAUUCGACUCAACCCGGACCGUGUAUAUUUUCCUCUUUACAACUAAUUCUUUUGAUUUUGGUAUUGUUUUGCCAAAAGCUCAGCAUACAAGAUCUCAUUCCAAGAAUCCGGCACACCAGGAAGACACCAGUGGCUACAAUCUUGAAAGUGUAAUGGUGAAUGUCGUUUUUCUUGCUCCGAGUAAUGCUGCUUUCGGUAUAUUGAUGGGUGCCCGUCUUUUCUAAAAUCUGUCAGUCUCGUGAUAUUCAGAUACGAAACUCGGGUUUUCAUAUUUCGUAAAACCUUCUCUAGAACCUUCAUCUUGUCGGGAUACGGAGAUAAAUAGGUUGUGUUUUUUAUAGUUCAACACACCUGGGUAAAGUGCAAGAUUUAGGCUUCCAUUUAAGCAUCUGAUAUGCAUUAUCCGGUCUACCAUUAUUAAAACAAUUAAACUGCUCAUCAAUUAACGAACACGAACCGGGUUUAUACAACGGAUACGACUCAUCCUUCACCCAUUCUCCAUCAAACAAGUCACAAUUCACCAAUUUCUUCACCAAAUCACCAAAUUCCGAACUAGAUUUUGUUCCAUUUGAAGAAGCAUUUGUGACAGUUUUCUGUAACGGCGUCGUUUGAUUAUUCUGAUUUGAAACGGAUUGAACCGGAGGAGACGACGUCGUUCUCUGAUUUGGCUUCAAAUCUGUUUGAUUUCGCACAACCGGCGGGUAACUAUUAUUCCCAUUUUUAACGGUUUCCUGAAACGGCGUCGUUUGAUUAGUCGAACUCGAAGCAGGGAGAAACGGAGGAGACGACGUCGUUUGAUUAUUCUUCACUGUCGGUGCUUGACUAUUCACACUUCCAGAUCCAGAAACAGUUGCGUUCAAAUUCGAGUUAGAAACCGUUGAAUUACGAGCAGAUUGUGUCGAAUUGUUAGCGAAAAAGUAAGAAUAAAUGGAAGAAAACUGAGAUCCAACAGAAUCAGAAGAAGUAUUAACUGUACUAUUUGGUUGCAAACCUGUGCUACUACUAGAGAUCCUAAAGCUUGAGCCAGUGAAGAUGUUACUGAACCAUGGGGAUGAAGGAUUUUGCGAAGGAUUGAAGGCGAGAAAGACGGUGAAAGCGACGAAAACAGCGACGAAUAUGUAGGCGAAAGUUCGAGAUCUUUUAGUUCUGAAGGUGAAUAUGUUGGUGAAGUUGAAUUCUGAGGGUAGGGUACCGUUGUUAAUGGGGGUAUACUUGGUCGAUUCCGCCAUGGAAGUGAGAAGCAGAGUAUGCAGAAAGUUAGAGAGAGAAAGUUGGAGAAGAAGUGGGAAUGGAGGAGGUCCGUGAUUAGAGAGAGAAGAUGAUUGGGUGGGGGAUAUUGGGACGCGUUUUAAGUGAUUUGUAUAGAUACUGA
rnacentral:lncRNA from 1 species